GGCUGAUCCGAUGGUAGUGAGUUAUCAGGGAUUAAUAACUAAAGUUGGUAUUUAAAUCCCCACUGCUAAAUUUGACUGGGUUUUA
ensembl:misc_RNA Y_RNA Y RNA